UCGUCCAGGUACUGAGGCGUUCACCAAAACCGGGUGAACGGGGAGCAUAAAAACCGUCGCACAGAGUGCUUAACGGGCUCCUGCAACAACUCAACACAGCCUCGCCAUGCUACACAGUAUCUGACG
rfam:Serratia sp. ATCC 39006 ctg2, whole genome shotgun sequence.